CGGGUUCAAACAGAAAGAUUUGAAAGCAGAGAAAAAAUCUUAUAAUCGACAUCACCAGAUGACAUCAGAUGACAAUACCAAUACUUGAAUAAGGCUUAUGCAUAGUUAUAUACUUUAAUUCAGUCACGAACCCACGAUAUCACGGAUGUGCUUUUGUGGUCUGUAAAAUAUACUCGUAUUGUCAACUAUGAUAAAAAGGUUGAACCAAAU
rnacentral:lncRNA from 1 species